rnacentral:miRNA from 10 species
CAGAACACCCAGUUAAAUUUGAAUUUCAGAUAAAUAACAAAUAAUUGUUAAUGUAAGUAUACCCCAUUCAAUAUUUGGGACAUACAUAUACUAAAAAUAUUUAUUGUUUAUCUAGAAUUCAAAUUUAGUUGAUGUCCUGUA